ensembl:lncRNA
UCUCUUUUGGAAUUCUCAGGGUGUCAUUCUUCCAACUUUACUGAUGAGGAAACCAAGCCCAGGGGGUAAGGGAUAAUAUGUCCAGAGAAAGUAAAGGAAACAGGAAAAGAAACAGGGAAGUAAAGGAAAGGGGAUUCAAACAGAGGCCUGCUGAGGAUCCUGUCAUGCCAUGCUGAAAGAUGACCCACUGGUGCCUUCACGUCUCAUCUCAUGUAUCAAUCUACACAAACUUACAGAGUGGACAACAGAAGGUGCUUUGUCCGCCUGGGGGGUGGGGUCCGGGGAGGCACAUGGAGGAUCAGACACAUAACGGAUAUUACACUUUUAGUCCAAGGCCGCCCUGCCUACACAUUGAUUCUGAGGCUUCCUCUAAACCAUUCUGUAGAUUAAUUGUGGCACGUACCCUUCAGGGUCGAUGGUGAAGGACAACAAAAAUGGGCUGGAGCAGUGUGAGCAGGGAAGGAGCUCACUGAGAGGAUAUUUUACAGUCAGAGCUGACCUCACCGAGCCCUCUCCGGACCCAGGCAUGGGCCAAAUGCUUGACUUGCAUAAUUCAUUUUAUAGAUGAGGAAACUAAAGUUUGGUGAGGCAAAGCAAGUUGCCCAAGAUCAACACCCAGGACAUGGGAGAGCAGGAUUGCAAUCUGGCCGGCUAGCCCUGGAGCCCACACUCCCGAAAACCACAGUUGGCUCUCUUGCUGCUAUCUCUGUUGGUCUUCCUGCUUCGUGUCCCUCCUUCAGGAGCCAAGGUAAGGGAACUUAGACCCCGAGAGCUUCUGUGACUUAGCAGUGCAUCGCAGAUACACCCGCCAACAACUGCCACAGAACGAGCAACCUCAACAUCUCAAUGUUGCAAGAUAAUAAGCAUUUCUUCUGCCCUCACCAGUCCAUGGGUUGGUUGCAGGGGCCUUCCUGUACAUGUCUCAUCCUUAGCCUGGGACAUCAGACCAGCCAGGGCACGUUCUCUCCAAGCAGGUGUAGGGGCACUCAAGCCCAUGGCAAAGCACACUUCAAGCUCCUGCUUGCAUCACAUCUGCCAACUCCUACAUUGUGGGGAUGCACUAUUGCGCUCUCAAUUAAGGCUUUGGGCUCUUCAGGAGAAAAGAGACUCAUGCAUAUCAGCUCAACAGUAGUACGCAUUCCACUGAGACUGCUUUUGGGUACAAGUACCCAGAGAAUGGACCGCAUGGGGUUGUACCAGCGUUUACUAGGUGCUGUUCCAAUCUGCCUCCCUGCCCUGACUGGUGAACUCUCAGCUUCCUCCAUUCCCUGCCUCCUGGCAAGCAGAGGGGAAAGAUGAUCCCCGAUUGUAGAAAUCCAGGAGGCGUGGCAAGGUGGCUUUUUGGCGGGCUCGUAAAUUGCCAAGUGGAUUAUGGAGGAUAGAUAAGCCGGAAGACGCCAGGCACAGCUUGGAUGUAUUUCAUUUCUGAUCACACCGGAAUGGAGCAAGAAUUAUGGACAAAGUGCAUAGACCCAAGCAGCCAUGCUUGAUCAUUUACACCCCUCGCUGUCAUUUUUAAUCUGCGGUGUCUGUUCUCUCCAACCCCGAAAACACCAAACCCGGCCUCUUGAAGAACCUCUUCACUCGAGUCUUUCUCAAUAUGUCGAGCCUUUCUCAAUAUUUGGCAUGGUUCCCAUGGGAGCUUCCCCACACUGUGACCCUGCUGUGGGGACUAAACACGAGAAUGAGUCUGGUGGAGGGGGCACUUGACAUCUGGUUUGUAAAUUAACAUCAACCACAUGUGCAUGUGCCCAUAUCCACACUCCUUUCUCCAAAGCCCCAUCACAUUUUAGAGAUAAAAAUGAGUUGGGAGCAUAAGCUUUUGGGUCAUGUGGAAUUGAACUGGAAUAUUAAUCCCAACACUUACAAAUGGUGGGAGUUUGGAGGGGACAUUUAAUCUCUUUCAGCCUCAGUAUCCUUAUUUGUAAAUGGGCUAAUGACAUCUACCUUAUGGAGUUGUUGGACAUGUGGGGUUGUGUCCAUGAUGAGAACAUGCAUCUGACACUUGGUAGAGUUCAUGGUACCUAGUUAAGACUUUAAGCAUGACAGUUAUUAUCAUGGUUAUUGUCCAGACACAAGAUGAUGGACCUGCUCCCUGAGGCCAACUGAGAUGCGUCCAGGCUUAGAUUCACAGAGUCCAUGACUGGACACAGGUUGGAUGGAUGGAUGGAUGGAUGGAUGGAUGGAUGGACAAGUGGAUGGUUAGUUUUGUGGAUGGAUAGGUAGAUAAAUGCACAGGUGAAGGGCCAGGUGGUACAAUAUCUGAAUAGGCUCUAUUUUGGGCAAGAGAACAUCAAAG